ACGAGUGGCGGACGGGUGAGUAAUGUCUGGGAAACUGCCCGGUGGAGGGGGAUAACUACUGGAAACGGUAGCUAAUACCGCAUAACGUCGCAAGACCAAAGAGGGGACCUUCGGGCCUCUUGCCAUCGGAUGUGCCCAGAUGGGAUUAGCUAGUAGGUGGGGUAACGGCUCACCUAGGCGACGAUCCCUAGCUGGUCUGAGAGGAUGACCAGCCACACUGGAACUGAGACACGGUCCAG
rnacentral:rRNA from 1 species